rnacentral:rRNA from 1 species
CAGUCGCCACGGGAAUACGGAGGGUGCAAGCGUUAAUCGGAAUUACUGGGCGUAAAGCGCACGCAGGCGGUUUGUUAAGUCAGAUGUGAAAUCCCCGAGCUUAACUUGGGAACUGCAUUUGAAACUGGCAAGCUAGAGUCUUGUAGAGGGGGGUAGAAUUCCAGGUGUAGCGGUGAAAUGCGUAGAGAUCUGGAGGAAUACCGGUGGCGAAGGCGGCCCCCUGGACAAAGACUGACGCUCAGGUGCGAAAGCGUGGGGAGCAAACAGGAUUAGAGACCCGCGUAGUCCCUGUCUCUUAUAC